AGCUACUUCAUUUUGUCAUUAAUAUUCUACCUUCAAGUUAUUAUCCCAAUAACUUUGAUAUUUUCCAACUUCCAAGCCUAUAUCUCAAGAUCCACAAAUAUGAUUCAAAGGACAAUGGCUAAUUCUUUGUUUUGGAUGUAUCGUGUCAGUGGUAUCUUGACCAAUGUCCAUAUACUCCUUCUUACGCUUUCAAGAGCAUCACAUCUUGUUAUUAGAUGUACAGAAAUUUUGGUUCUUCUCCACACAACUUGCAUGAGUCAUCCUCUACCAAGCCCAUACCCUUUAGAUGUUUCUUCAAGGGAAUAUAACGAGUCACAAAAGUUAAAACCUUUUAAUUGAUGUUCUUCUCUCUUUAUAUAUUUCCCAU
rnacentral:lncRNA from 1 species